rnacentral:lncRNA from 1 species
UUUGGUUCAGAGUCGAUGUUACAUCCUGUGUUUGUUUCUUUUAUUUCCUCGGUUUUCUUUUCAUAUUUCUUUUUCAUCGACUGUCCUUUUCCGUGCUUCUUUCUUUUGAAUCUUCGAGUUGUCGAGUUUUUAUUUUUCUUUCUUUUUCUCGAUGCAUCAUUUUUUCUUUUUCUCUUGUUUUUGCACUUUCUUGGGCUUUGAGAGCUUUUGGGGUUUUAACCCCAAACUUAGCUUUUAAACACAGCUUUGAAUGCAU